CCUACGGGGGGCAGCAGUGGGGAAUAUUGCGCAAUGGGCGCAAGCCUGACCCAGCAACGCCGCGUGAAGGAAGAAGGCUUUCGGGUUGUAAACUUCUUUUCUCAGGGACGAAGCAAGUGACGGUACCUUAAGAAUAAGCCACUGCUAACUACGCACCAGCAGCCGCCGUAAUACGUAGGUGGCAAGCGUUAUCCGGAUUUACUGGGGGUAAAGGGCGUGAAGGCGGGAAAGCAAGUCAGCUGUGAAAACCCUGGGCUCAACCUGUGGCCUGCAUUUGAAACUGGUUUUCUUGAGUACAGGAGAGGCAAGCGGAAUUCCUAGUGUAGCGGUGAAAUGCGUAGAUAUUAGGAGGAACACCAGUGGCGAAGGCGGCCUACUGGACAGCAACUGACGCUGAGGCGCGAAAGCGUGGGGAGCAAACAGGAUUAGAUACCCCAGUAGUC
rnacentral:rRNA from 1 species